rnacentral:lncRNA from 1 species
CAGCAUGCUUGUGCUCAAUUGCAGGGUCCUCGUUCUCGAGUGUGCAGAGGGCGGUGAGAGCUCAACUCUCGUCCCCACCUCCCACCCGCAGCUCCCCGGGUGGGUGAGGGAUGCCCUGGACUGGGGAUAGCCAGGUGGGAGUCCGUCGCUGUGUGGCCUGUGGUCUCGGAGUCUGUUCUCCUGGAGUCUCGCAUUUGCACCCCCUUCUUCGCAGUCCCCCUCCCAUAGACUUGCUCUGGGAAGCGCCUCUGCCUCCGACCCUAGCCGGAACCCCUUCGGGGCCAGAGUUUGAAGCCGUGGAUGUGCCUGCCUGGUGGCUUGUCCGAUUUGCACGGUGACUUGAUUACACUCUCUCAUUCAUGGUCACUUCCGAAGCGCUUUAGUGCCUUCCGUCCCUAAACCGCCAACAGCCAGAACGGCUUCUCCCCGCGGUUUGUCACUGAUCCGCAGGGCCCGGAAGGGCCUUCGUCUUACCCGGGAUCCACCUCUCCCCUCAUCUUCCCUGCCUACCUCUUCAUCCCACCUUCUGUCCUUGGAGAAACUCCCUCCUCCUCGCUGCCUGCCGGGCUUCGGAGUGACUCGGCAGAGACAGAGGCACAGGGGCUGCCCUGCUGCUCACCGGUCCACCCAUCUGCCUGGUCUUCUGGAGCUGAGGACUCGGGAAACCAUGCAAUUGAGGCAAGCCUUGGGCUGCUUUAGAGGCGCUGACAUCCGAGGAGACUUCUCCUGGGAUUGAAGGAGCAAUGUUUGGAGGAAGCGAAAGAAAGGAGAGGACACAGAGCACAGAGCAGCCAGGCAGAGCCAGGAGCUGAGAAGGGCCCAGACCUGAGGCCUCCCAACAACUCUCUUCUUGGAAGGAUCUGGGAUGUUGCUGAAGGAAAAUAAAAAAAUAUGUAAAAAGAUAACCUUUUGUUUUUCCCUCUCCAGGAAAUAGCCAAAGUUAUUUACAUAUCUUGGGGAGAUUUAGAGUAUAAACUCUAAGAUCUUUGGUAUUUAAGUGUCAACAUCGAUUUAUUUAUUUAUUGCUGAGCUGACUGUAACUGACUCAAUAACAAAUCUAAUCGUGUAUUGCACUGGAAAAGAAAUAUUCUUAUUAUGUAUUUUCUCCAAAUAAUGGCCUACCAUUGCAUUUGAAUACCUGCUGUAAAUAUCAAUAAUAUGAAGUAAUU